CUGUUUAAAACCUGACCAUUCAUUAUUCUGUGUGUUUUGGGUACGGGGCUACUGACGGGAAGUAGCAAUCGAACGAAGAAGAAAGCACAUCUUCUCAGAUUUUCUUCAUUAUUUCCAACAAGACUCAACAGGAUCAACAACGAAGGCUCUCUCUGAUUCUUGACUCAAUUUCAUGUCUCUAAGAGCUGUGAUCUGCGUAGGAAUGAAGUGUGGUUGUCAUCUGCAGCUGGAAUCGUGAGCGCUUCUGGGUGCUGUGCUCCAGAGAUAAACUAAAGCUGAGGAAAAAUACUAUGACUUAAUAAUAUGAUCCUUAUGGAACAAAAUAUUGUGUACAUCCCCAGAUGAUUAAAACUAACAUUUAUACUGUGCUUUCCAAGCCACUACAGUGGUUAUAAAUAGUUUCUCUACAAACUAUUUAUAGAGAAAUCACAUCAACCACCCACCACUUGUUAAAAUGGAGCAAGUAUUUUCACACAAAGGCAACUUUACAAAACAGCAGGGGAAUUGGUAAUGGAAGGAACAGAUAGGCUGGAAAUGACUCGCGGGAGACUUAACUGAUUUCUUCCUUUUCUAUUUUUAACCUUUAAUGUGUAAUAUAUAUUCAGAGCAAUGCACAUAAGUGUCAGCCAGCUGAAGUUUCACUAACUUAACAUACUUGCGUAGCUGGCAGCAGAUCAGGAAGUGGAGUAUUACAAACCCCCCGAGUCUUCAGGUCACUGUCCUUCCAAGGUUACCUGGCGUCUUGUCUGCUAACUGCACAGAUUAGUUUAGUUUGUUCUUAGCUUUUAUAGAAAUCGAAUGCUACCGCAUGUUUUUUGUGGCUGGUUUCUUAGAUUUAAUUUUAUGUUUGUGAGACUCAUCCAUGCUGUUUGUUCAUUCUGCUACACAGUGUCAAGAUGUGCAAGCAUAACAUAAUUUAUUGAUCCAUUCCAGUGUUGAUGGGCCUUUUGGUAGUCUUUGCUUUUUGACCACUACAAAUUGUGCUUCUCAUGAACAUCCUUGAUCAUAUCUUUUGGGCAUAUGUUUAGGAGUGAAAUUGCUGUCAUAGAAUAAGCACAUUUCCAUGUUAAUAGGUUCUGCCAGAUAGUUUUCCAAAUGGUUGUGCUAAUUUACACUCUCAACAGUAGUGGAGGAGAAUCCUGGUUGCUGUAUAUACUUUCCAACAUUUGUUAUUUUCUAGUGGGUGAGUAAUGCUAUCACUUUAUGCUUUCAAUUUGCAUUUCCUUGAUGACAAAGUUGAGCACCUUUUUAUAUGUGUGUCGGUUAUUUGUUUUCUUUUUGAAAGUGAUCUCUACUCCCAUCACGGGGCUUGAACCCACAACCCCAAGACCAAGGGUCACAUGCUCCACCAACUGAGGCAGCCAGGCGCCCCAUAUGUGUAUUGGUUAUUUAGAGAGCUUCUUUUGUGAAAUGUGCCUAUUCAGGGUUUUUGCCCAAUUUUCUGUUGGUUGUUUAUCUUUUUCUAGACGUUCUAUAUAUAUACUGGAUAAUCUCUUCAUUUUCUUAUGUACAAUGUGAUUUUUAAGUGUUUAGGUUUAUGGUAGGUAUGUUCUUCAUGUUUUCAUGUACUCUGUUUAUGCAGAAUAUGCAUCAAUAUGCAUCUUAGAUCCCUGUAUAUUCAGGCCUGAAAAACUUCUAACAGCACUUAGGUGAAAAAAGUAACCUUAUUCCAAAGUUGAAAGUAUUGCAUGCAAUCAGCUACCAUAAAAUGCAUCAUUAUUAUUUAAUGACAUUUUACAUUCAUGAUCUAUUUUUUUAUUUUUAGCUUUUUCAUAUUGCUUGAUUCAUUGCUUAAAAUGAAUAUGAAGAUAAGAAAGACAACCCUCCCUCCUCAAAUGAUCCUUUUGGCGACAGUGCCCAGUAUCUUUUUGGAGAGCCGCCUUGAUCACAGUUGGUCUGCAUGUGUUGAGCCCACUAUCAGCUUCAGCAGAGGGCAGGUACCACUGACUCAGACCUGAUCAGAUGAGCACCACAUUCCUCAGGGCAUAGCCAUUGGCUCAAGAAUGACUGUGUGAUCCAUCCGUAUCAAUGACAUAUAAUGAGAUCAGUUCUGAGACUACAUAGGGAAAGGAAGCCUCUUCCAUGCUGGACUUGACUUCAGGAGGAUGUGAAGUAGAGCUGCUGUGACCUUCUUACAACCUUGAGAAGACACUGUUGAAAACAGAGCCAGACCAGAAGAAGCAAAGUUAAGAGAUAGAGAGAAAUGGAAUUGAAAUAACAUUUUGAGCUCCUGGAUCAAGCCAUGACUGAAGCUAGUAGUAUCUGGACUUUUCAGUAACAUGAGCCAGUAAAUUCCUUGUCUGCUUAAGAUGGGUUGGAUUAUUUUUUUCUGAUGCUUGAGACCUAUAGAGCCUUCACUAGUGCAAAUAUCUGGCCUAGAUGGGGUUUCCAACCUUACAUGAACUAUAGAAAAGUAAGGUAAGUAUAGGGUUUUAAGCAAAGCCUCUUCUCUGAAAGGAAAGUACUGUUUCUUUCUUUUAAAAAAAUUUUUUUAAUGUUUAUUUAUUUUGGAGAGACAGAGAGAGAGAGAGAGAGACAGAGUGUGAGUGGGGGAGGGGCAGAGAGACAAGGUGACAGAAUCUGAAGCAGGCUCCAGGCUCUGAGCUGUGAAUACAGAGCCCAACACGGGGCUCGGACUCACAGACUGCGAGAUUAUGACCUGAGCCAAGGUCAAAUGCUUAGCCGACAGAGCCACUCAGGUGCCCCAGGAAAGUACUGUUUCAAAUAGUAGUUUUAAAAUUUAGGUACCAGGAUUUUAAGUUUCUCAUAGGGCUUGUGUAUAGAAUUAGAAGUUUAGGGAUGCCUGGGUGGCUCAGUUGGUUCAGCGUCCGACUUCAGCUCAGGUCAUGAUUUCACAGUUCGUGAGUUCCAGCCCCGUGUCAGGCUCUGUGCUGACAGCUCAGAGCCUAGAGCCUGCUUUGGAUUCUGUGUCUCCCUCUCUUUCUCUGCCCCUCCCUCUCUCAUGCUCUGUCUCUCUCUCUCUCUCUCUCUCUCUCUCUCAAGAAUAAACAUCAAAAAAAUAAAUAAAUAAAAAGAAGUUUAUUGUAACGUAAUGUUUGUUUAGGUUUCAUUUGGUAGAGGGAGAUGAGAGAGGAGAAAUGUGUGUCUUAUCUAUGGUCGUAAACGAUCACUGUAUUCAUGAAAGUGGUUCCCAGACAACUGUCCUUGAACCUGUUCUAUCAGAAUUCCUUCAGGAGUUUGUUACAAAUACACAUUUUGGUGUUCCGCCCCUGGGGGUCUGGAUCACUAAAUGUGGGAUGGUGCCUAGAAUCUGCAUUAGGAUUUUUUUUAAUGUUUAUUUUUAAGGGGGGGGUGCAGAGAGAGAGAGGGAGACACAGAAUCCGAAGCAGGCUCCAGGCUCUGAGCUGUCAGCACAGAGCCUGGCAUGGCACUCCAACUCACAAACUAUGAGAUUAUGACCUGAGCCAAAGUCGGACACUUACCCAACUGAGCCACCAGGCACCCCUAGAAUCUGCAUCUUUAAACAAAUUCCAAGAUUGGGGGACCAGUGCUUUAUUACAGGAUUUCCCUCACUAAUCCCUGGCUGCUGAUGUCCAAUCUUCUUCCAAGAAUUCUGAACCAAGCAAGGGAAGAAACUGAGCAGGAGAGGAAACCUAAGAUAUGGGAGAGAGAGACACAGACAGGCUGUUAGAGAAACAUGCCUGCUGAAAGAUUGAAGGUUGCUGGGGUGGAGUGGGAGGAGGGAAGAGAGAAUUUAUAUUAACAUUGUUCUUUAAAAUCAGAGUUUUGUAUAAAUAAAAAUAAGUUGGUUUGGAAAUGUGAA